UGUCAUCAGCCACGUGUAUCCAACUAUACAGGCACGUUACAGCCACAUCAGAUCUGUUCUACCUCAAUUAUCCAGAGCUAUUCUAUUUCCGGCUUUUAACAUUCCCUUCCUGCACUCUUUUCAAGCCGUUAAUCAAAUUACAGACAUUUGAUAUCUUCAUCUUCUCCCCACUCGUCAGAAUAUCCCCAGGUGAUUUGUGUUUAGUAUAUGUAUUUGUUAUGGAUGUUUUGUUGAUUUUGGCACAUCACCGCCGCACAACACCCCCCGUCUCGUCCUCCCCUCCAUCAAUCUCCUUCAAUCAACCCCGCCUAACGUUUUCUCAAGAUUCCUUACCAACCACGCAGAUUCCGCACUCUUUCAUCAUUUUCUUUCGCUAGAACUUCUGUCGAACAUAUUGGCUGCAAUGCUCAAGUUGAAAAAAAUAUAGGCUUUCCCAACCCAGGUGACAAAGGUGCUAUGCUCUCCGAUAUGUAUGCCUGCAGUUGCAGCGAUUAGAUCGCUAAUGAAAAACAAUAAAGUUAAAACGUUUGCAGCCUGCAAUUGGAUUGAGAGUGGUGUUAAGUUUUAUAAGUUUGUAUCAGAAGAUCGAAGUCAUCCUGAAUCAAAAGCCAUUUAUCUGCGGUUGAACAAAAUGGUACGCAGGCUACAAGAAUCUAGCUUUAUUCCUGAUAAAAGCUUGGUUCUGCACAAUUGGCGAAGAUGAGAAACUCGAAGCAAUAUGCUACCAAAGUGAGAAAUUAGCUCUUGCAUUUCGAUUGAUUAAAAAUCCCCAAGGAAAACGACCUAUAAGGAUAUUGAAGAAUAUAUGUGCUUGCAGUGACUGCCAUGCCUUUAUGAAGUUUGUGUUUAACAUUAUUGAACGACCAAUCAUUUUGAGGGAUUCCAAUCGAUUUCAUCAUUUUGUUGGAGGACACUGCUCUUGCAAGGACCUAUUAUGUUUUCUCUUCACUGUUUUGUGUAUCUAUUACACGAUUGUCUAGAUAAUCGAGAUUGGACAUAUAUUACUUAUUUCUGUUCCCAUUCAAGAUCAAGGGGACCCUAACAGGAGCUUUUCUUGUUAUUAAUUUAUUAGGGUGAGGUUUUUAAUUGACUGAUAGGCGCCAUGCAGAGGCGUUAACUCAGGCUGAAAUUGCAGAAAGAGCAAGAAAACCUGCGGUUUCUGGGCAACAUUGUCCCGGAGCUGAUGCAUCUCAACCACUUUUGCAUGACCAAAGGUACUGAUCACCUAUGGCAGCUACUGUAUCAGAGCUAGAUUGGGGAUGAAAUUGGAUUAGUGAAAUGUUGCUUUUGACGAUAAAUUUCAUAAUCAGCUUGGAUUCAAGUGAGGCACCAAUUUUUAUACAUGUUAUGUAUGAGACCUCUACUAUGCAUGCAUCAGCAACCAUGAGCUUAAGGACAGCCUUGUUGUUACUAGCCUUGAUGGUUUCAGUAACUUCAUCUGUUCCAAAAGAUAGAGGUGCAUACAUAGUUCACAUGGACAGGUCGAAGAUCAAAAGUCUGCGGACAAUAAAAAAAUGGCAUGAAUAUGUCAUGGACUCUAUCCAUAGAUUGUCAAUUCAAGAAAAUAAUGAAGAAGAAGCAUAUCCACCCAAUCUUCUAUACGUUUACGGAACAACCAUCUUUGCUUUUUCUGCAGCACUCACUAAAUCAAACCUAAGAUCAUUAGACAAAAUCAACGGUUUUCUUUAUGUCAUUCCUGAUGAAAUGCUAAGCAUCCACACCACUCAUUCACCAGGUUUUCUCAGCCUAAAUCCUGGCAGGGGACUCUGACAUCCCAAGAACUUGACUUCUGAUGUCAUAAUCGGUAUUCUAGACACUGAAAUAUGGCCAGGACACAUCAGUUUCUUCGACACUGGCAUGCCUCCAGUGCCCUACAAUUGGAAAGCCAAAUGCGAAGAGGGCACAAACUUUACAAUUUCAGAUUGUAACAGAAAGCUAAUCGGAGCAAGAGCUUUCUUCAAAGGUUAUGAAUCUGUUAGAGGAACAGAUUAAUCAAACAGAGGAUUGCAGAUCUCCCCUUGAUGCAGAAGGCCAUGGUACACAUGCUGCAUCAACUGCAGCUGGUAAUCUUGUACCAGGUGCAAGCUUUCUUGGUAAUGCUAAAGGCGCAGCUACUGGAAUGAUGUUCACAGCAAGAAUUGCAGCAUAUAAAGUUUGUUAUGCUUUCGGUUGUUCAAGCUUAGAUAUUUUAGCUGCCAUGAUACAGCUGUUAGUGAUGGGGUCAAUAUAUUGUCACUCUCUUUGGGUGGCAUCGCAAAGCCUUAUUAUGAACAUAGCAUAGCUAUUGCAUCACUUGGUGCAUUUCAACAAGGGGUCUUUGUUUUAUGCUCAGCUGGACAGGAGCUUUCCAACCACAUUUAAACUCAGGAAUGGUCAACUAUUUAAAGGGCCUUCAUUGUGUUCCGGGAAAAAUAUUAAAAGCUUGCAACCUGUGUAUGGUGCAGCUGCAGGUAUACAAGGGGCUCAGUACUGUUCUAAUGGCUCUCUUACACCGGAGCUUGUGAAGGGAAAGAUUGUAGUUUGUCAAAGAGGAGGGAGUAGCCGAGCCAAAAAAGCAGAACAGGUACUGUUUGCAGGGGGUGCUGCAAUGCUGCUUGUAAACACUGAUAAUGAAGGUGAGGACAUCUUUGCUGAUCCACAUAUAAUCCCUGCAACACCUUUGGGAGCUUUAGCUGCAAGUGCUUUAGAUGCUCUAUGUCGGUCAAGGGGCUUAUUAUCUUUUUUUGAUUUGGUAUUGACACUAUUUGUUUGAAUGUGAGGAUUUUAUGAAAGCGGAUUUAUGGACUCUACCCCACUUAACAACGAUCAAUAUUGAAUAUCGUUCUUAUAAAAGACUCAAGGUUCACAAAUCAUGUUGGAGGCUGCCUGUCUUGACAACUCUAUGGUCUUUCCUCAGAAUAUGAUUGACUACUUUCUCGCACUUACCGGUCUAAGGAAUCUUGUCAUUGAUUUUUGCCAACACUAUAUCGGACGUCUUGUCAUUUGGUGAACCUAAAAAUUAAGGUCAGCUUAUCUUCUGUACAUAUACUUAGGCUCAAAAAUUGUGGUAUGGCCACAAAAACUGUGUAAUUUUCAAGCUAUUGGUUUCUAUCGGGUGUCUUAUGAAGGUUCUAAGUUGGAGAUUGCAGCUAUUAAAUUUUGGGAUCUUCUAUUAAGCUCGACGGUCUGGAGACACUAUCAAGAUGUGAUUGAAACUAUGUUCUCCCAGCUUGGCAGCGCCAAGAUUCUUAGUAUUGACUUGGUGACCAUUCAGGAUAAAAUAUCUGGAAAUUUUGAAUAUAAAAUCCCAUCAAAAUUAGUCAAGAAUGCAACAAAAUGUUGAGAUGAAUGCUGAGGUGCUUUCUGAGUAUCGGGCUCUUUUUACUGACUUGCAGGGAUGGGGAUUCAAGUUAAAUUGGCUGAUAAACCAUCUCACCUUUAUUGAACCGCUCUUGUUUUCAAAGACUAAACUUAACGAACUUCAUGCAAUUGACUUUCACAUUAAUGAUGCUAAACGUAAAUUACAGGAUUUGCAAACUCUUCGUGUCGAGAAAAUGACACAUUCAGAAAGCUCUCCAACUAAGAGUACUAGCCUUGCGGUUAUUUCUGACUACCUUGGAGAUGUUAUACUGUAAGAACAAAAAAAAAACUUGACAGAAUGUUACUAUAUUUCUGUGUUUGAUCCUCGGUAAUUUCUAUGUAAUUUAUGAUAUUUAUUCAAGAACUUCAAGAACACUUUUCCUUUGGAGAGGGUAAUAGUUGAUUUAAGUUAUGCCUCCAGUCCAACAAGUUAUCAGUGGCCUACUUUUUCCUAUGAUAUUGGAAUGUCCAAAAAAUUUAGAUAUUGGAUUCGUCCUAAGUAUUCUUAUUCCUUUCUUAAUAGUUUUUUUUGAA